rnacentral:lncRNA from 1 species
AGGCGGGCGGAUCACAAAGUGUCAGGAGUUUGAGAACAGCCUGGCCAACAUGGUGAAACCCCAUCUCUACUGAAAAUACAAAAUCCCAGCUACUUGGGAGGCUGAGGCAAGAGAAUCACUUGAACCUGGGAGGCGGAUGUUGCAGUGAGCCGAGAUCACGCCACUGCACUCCAGCCUGGGCAACGGAGUGAGACUCCAUCUCACAAAAAAGAGAAAAGAAAAGAAAACUUUGCUUCACUAAGUUUCUCUUGCCAUUAUCUCAUUAAUUCAGAUCUGUACCUCAUUGCUGCUCACACAUAUAUGUUUCUUACCUUAGCCUGAACCUUCUCAGGCCUUGAAGUCAUUAUUCUACUCUUUUUUUUUCUUUUCCUUUUUUAUGGCACUAGAGAAUGAAAACCUAAGGUCUUAGAAAAUCUUAACUUGAAAAAGUCUCUAACUGGCAUGAUUUGAUUACUUUUUUCCCCUGUGGACAAAUAAUUUUCUUUCCUAUAUAAUAGAUUUUUAGUAAGUGAAACCUUUGCUGCUGCUUUCCUGGGUUUACAUUAGUUUUUUCCUGCCCUUAAGAAUAAUUUAUCUGUGCUUCUCUGAUGACUGUUAAUUUCUAAUAGUGCAGGAAGGGAUGAGCUUUUGAUUUCUUCUCACUCCCCUCCUCACCCUACUUCCAAAUUACACACUAACUUCUAACCCUUACAGCCUGUUGGCACAUACACAAGAUCCACGAGACCAUGCUCCUCAGAAGCUACCCAUGUCCUUUCUCACCAUGGUGUGGCUCUUGGAGCCCUGAGUAUCUGUGACUACCCACUCCAAAGGUUGACUGUAAGAGGAGAGCGGCCUUCUUAAUUUUGCAUUUCUUAAUUUUGUUUUUCUCCAUUCCUGUUUUAUGACUUGGCCUUCAGAUGCUUCCUACUCUGGCCUCCUCCUUUUUUCUCCUAGGAAUUGUUUCCAGGUAACCUACCAUGUGCACUUCUCAGCUGCUCUGCUCACCUUUGCCCACCUUCCCGUGACCCUGAGAGUACAGAUCCGAAUAAUGUGGCCUGUGCAGAGCUCAGAGAACUGUGAGGACUACCCAUGCCUGUCAGACUCUGCUCAGGGACAGAGAUGGAUGGGUAAAUGGUGCUGUUGGAGACAUUUUUAUCUUCAUACCAGGCUCUGUUUCAUCCCUGCACCCCGCACCCCCACUCACUCCCCUGAGGGGGUAAAAUGCAGAGGUGGUUGACCUGAAGGGUCUGAUUCCCUCCUUCCCAAGCCUUAGGGCCUACCCUGGAGUGCUGCAGUGUGUGAGAGCUGCUGCUUGCUUGUUUCUCCACUAGGCCUGCUCCAAAUGCUUAGCCAAUCUCUGGAGCCGACACAGUUGCCUACGGGGUGACUUAGCACCAGGUUCCAUUAGCUCUCCAAGUGACUGUUUCCACCCAGUACUUUUGGCGCUUGAGGAUGGGGGGAGGGGGAUUAUUUAAAAUAAAUAAAAUCCGAGGUGGCAGUAGAGGAUUCCUUUUGCUUUAAAAAUCUUUGGACUAAAAAAAAAAAAAAAAAGUUUUUUAUAUAUAAAUAUAUAAAGUAAAUUGUUAUGUAACUAUUAUUGUUUCUUGUAUGUUCUAAUUUUGUUUUAUGAUGUAAUUAAAGAAAGUAAGCUGUGAAGACUUUUCAUUUUCCUGUG